rnacentral:rRNA from 1 species
AUGGAUAGCAGACGCGGAAGAAGCCCAAGAAAAGCGGUGAACUGGAGCUUCCCUUGUCAACGAUGCUGUAUGCUGUUUGUUAGUAUUGCUCCUUACCAGUUUAUGAACUUGAGGGGCACUCAAGACUCUGUAAUACUGUCAUUGGCAAUAGCAGCUUAUCUCGCGUUUCAGCAUUUCACCGGGGCCGGAGGCGUGCGGAAGGCCUUGGACCAUGGAGCGGUAGUUGCAACCUUGUGCAUCAUCUGCAUCACGCUUAUCCCCUUCUUGUUCUUGCUCUGA